AGCGGCGGACGGGUGAGUAACGCGUGGGUAACCUGCCCUAUACACACGGAUAACAUACCGAAAGGUAUGCUAAUACGAGAUAAUAUAAGAGAUUCACAUGGAUUUCUUAUCAAAGCUGAGGCGGUAUAGGAUGGACCCGCGUCUGAUUAGCUAGUUGGUAAGGUAACGGCUUACCAAGGCGACGAUCAGUAGCCGACCUGAGAGGGUGAUCGGCCACAUUGGAACUGAGACACGGUCCAAACUCCUACGGGAGGCAGCAGUGGGGAAUAUUGCACAAUGGGCGAAAGCCUGAUGCAGCAACGCCGCGUGAGUGAUGAAGGCCUUCGGGUCGUAAAACUCUGUCCUCAAGGAAGAUAAUGACGGUACUUGAGGAGGAAGCCCCGGCUAACUACGUGCCAGCAGCCGCGGUAAUACGUAGGGGGCUAGCGUUAUCCGGAUUUACUGGGCGUAAAGGGUGCGUAGGUGGUCUCUUAAGUCAGGAGUGAAAGGCUACGGCUUAACCGUAGUAAGCUCUUGAAACUGGGAGACUUGAGUGCAGGAGAGGAAAGUGGAAUUCCUAGUGUAGCGGUGAAAUGCGUAGAUAUUAGGAGGAACACCAGUAGCGAAGGCGGCUUUCUGGACUGUAACUGACACUGAGGCACGAAAGCGUGGGGAGCAAACAGGAUUAGAUACCCUGGUAGUCCACGCUGUAAACGAUGAGUACUAGGUGU
rnacentral:rRNA from 1 species